CCCGAAUGGGGAAACCCAGUGUGAUUCGUCACACUAUCAUUAACUGAAUCCAUAGGUUAAUGAGGCGAACCGGGGGAACUGAAACAUCUAAGUACCCCGAGGAAAAGAAAUCAACCGAGAUUCCCCCAGUAGCGGCGAGCGAACGGGGAGGAGCCCAGAGCCUGAAUCAGCAUGUGUGUUAGUGGAAGCGUCUGGAAAGGCGCGCGAUACAGGGUGACAGCCCCGUACACAAAAGCGCAUGUGCUGUGAGCUCGAUGAGUAGGGCGGGACACGUGGUAUCCUGUCUGAAUAUGGGGGGACCAUCCUCCAAGGCUAAAUACUCCUGACUGACCGAUAGUGAACCAGUACCGUGAGGGAAAGGCGAAAAGAACCCCGGCGAGGGGAGUGAAAAAGAACCUGAAACCGUGUACGUACAAGCAGUGGGAGCNNNNNNNNNNNNNNNNNNNNNNNNNNNNNNNNNNNNNNNNNNNNNNNNNNNGGGCGUUAAGUUGCAGGGUAUAGACCCGAAACCCGGUGAUCUAGCCAUGGGCAGGUUGAAGGUUGGGUAACACUAACUGGAGGACCGAACCGACUAAUGUUGAAAAAUUAGCGGAUGACCUGUGGCUGGGGGUGAAAGGCCAAUCAAACCGGGAGAUAGCUGGUUCUCCCCGAAAGCUAUUUAGGUAGCGCCUCGUGAAUUCAUCUCCGGGGGUAGAGCACUGUUUCGGCUAGGGGGCCAUCCCGGCUUACCAACCCGAUGCAAACUGCGAAUACCGGAGAAUGUUAUCACGGGAGACACACGGCGGGUGCUAACGUCCGUCGUGAAGAGGGAAACAACCCAGACCGCCAGCUAAGGUCCCAAAGUCAUGGUUAAGUGGGAAACGAUGUGGGAAGGCCCAGACAGCCAGGAUGUUGGCUUAGAAGCAGCCAUCAUUUAAAGAAAGCGUAAUAGCUCACUGGUCGAGUCGGCCUGCGCGGAAGAUGUAACGGGGCUAAACCAUGCACCGAAGCUGCGGCAGCGAACGUAUCACCCAAGACAACUUUACGGAGUUGACGAUUGACGGAGCGAAGCGACGUCAAAGCGUUCAUUAAAGUCGAGUUGGCUUAGGGAUACGUUCGUUGGGUAGGGGAGCGUUCUGUAAGCCUGUGAAGGUGUGUCGUGAGGCAUGCUGGAGGUAUCAGAAGUGCGAAUGCUGACAUAAGUAACGAUAAAGCGGGUGAAAAGCCCGCUCGCCGGAAGACCAAGGGUUCCUGUCCAACGUUAAUCGGGGCAGGGUGAGUCGACCCCUAAGGCGAGGCCGAAAGGCGUAGUCGAUGGGAAACGGGUUAAUAUUCCCGUACUUGGUGUUACUGCGAAGGGGGGACGGAGAAGGCUAUGUUGGCCGGGCGACGGUUGUCCCGGUUUAAGCGUGUAGGUGUGUGUUCCAGGUAAAUCCGGUUCACUUUAACACUGAGGCGUGACGACGAGGCACUACGGUGCUGAAGCAACAAAUGCCCUGCUUCCAGGAAAAGCCUCUAAGCAUCAGGUAACACGAAAUCGUACCCCAAACCGACACAGGUGGUCAGGUAGAGAAUACCAAGGCGCUUGAGAGAACUCGGGUGAAGGAACUAGGCAAAAUGGUGCCGUAACUUCGGGAGAAGGCACGCUGACACGUAGGUGAAGUGAUUUACUCAUGGAGCUGAAGUCAGUCGAAGAUACCAGCUGGCUGCAACUGUUUAUUAAAAACACAGCACUGUGCAAACACGAAAGUGGACGUAUACGGUGUGACGCCUGCCCGGUGCCGGAAGGUUAAUUGAUGGGGUCAGCGCAAGCGAAGCUCCUGAUCGAAGCCCCGGUAAACGGCGGCCGUAACUAUAACGGUCCUAAGGUAGCGAAAUUCCUUGUCGGGUAAGUUCCGACCUGCACGAAUGGCGUAAUGAUGGCCAGGCUGUCUCCACCCGAGACUCAGUGAAAUUGAACUCGCUGUGAAGAUGCAGUGUACCCGCGGCAAGACGGAAAGACCCCGUGAACCUUUACUAUAGCUUGACACUGAACAUUGAGCCUUGAUGUGUAGGAUAGGUGGGAGGCUUUGAAGUGUGGACGCCAGUCUGCAUGGAGCCGACCUUGAAAUACCACCCUUUAAUGUUUGAUGUUCUAACGUGGACCCGUAAUCCGGGUUGCGGACAGUGUCUGGUGGGUAGUUUGACUGGGGCGGUCUCCUCCUAAAGAGUAACGGAGGAGCACGAAGGUUGGCUAAUCCUGGUCGGACAUCAGGAGGUUAGUGCAAUGGCAUAAGCCAGCUUGACUGCGAGCGUGACGGCGCGAGCAGGUGCGAAAGCAGGUCAUAGUGAUCCGGUGGUUCUGAAUGGAAGGGCCAUCGCUCAACGGAUAAAAGGUACUCCGGGGAUAACAGGCUGAUACCGCCCAAGAGUUCAUAUCGACGGCGGUGUUUGGCACCUCGAUGUCGGCUCAUCACAUCCUGGGGCUGAAGUAGGUCCCAAGGGUAUGGCUGUUCGCCAUUUAAAGUGGUACGCGAGCUGGGUUUAGAACGUCGUGAGACAGUUCGGUCCCUAUCUGCCGUGGGCGCUGGAGAACUGAGGGGGGCUGCUCCUAGUACGAGAGGACCGGAGUGGACGCAUCACUGGUGUUCGGGUUGUCAUGCCAAUGGCACUGCCCGGUAGCUAAAUGCGGAAGAGAUAAGUGCUGAAAGCAUCUAAGCACGAAACUUGCCCCGAGAUGAGUUCUCCCUGAGACUU
rnacentral:rRNA from 1 species